AACGAACGCUGGCGGCAUGCCUAACACAUGCAAGUCGAACGAGACCUUCGGGUCUAGUGGCGCACGGGUGCGUAACGCGUGGGAAUCUGCCCUCUGGUACGGAAUAACUCAGGGAAACUUGAGCUAAUACCGUAUAAUGACUUCGGUCCAAAGAUUUAUCGCCUGAGGAUGAGCCCGCGUCGGAUUAGCUAGUUGGUGAGGUAAAAGCUCACCAAGGCGACGAUCCGUAGCGGUCUGAGAGGAUGAUCAGCCACACUGGGACUGAGACACGGCCCAGACUCCUACGGGAGGCAGCAGUGGGGAAUAUUGGACAAUGGGCGAAAGCCUGAUCCAGCAAUGCCGCGUGAGUGAUGAAGGCCUUAGGGUUGUAAAGC
rnacentral:rRNA from 1 species